UUAAAUUAAAGAUGGAUCAAGAAGGAUGAGACCUUUUGUGGGCAAAUAAGGAGGGUCAAGGAAGACAGAAUUGUAAGCUUGCGGUGGCUCAUCACAGAAGGCGUGAUGGGAAAUCUGAAUUCAUAGUGGCUCAGAAUACAAAGGGACUAUUGAAGAGUUCAGAAGACAGUUUAAUUGGGAAAGUGACUGCUAAUCUUAUGGGAUCAAAAUACCACAUAUGGAUCAGAUUUAUGGCUACUUGGCCUGCCUGGAGUGGCAGUUAUAGAAGGAUCAAAGCAUGGAUAGCGAAGCACCAAUCCAUGCUGUUGAAGAGCACGACACAAGUGAUCACGUUCAACCAAUGUGAGGAAGAAUGAUUUCUAGAUGUACACUUUUACUAAUUCCCAGCUUGGGCUUUUGUCUUUUUACUUAGAUACAACAUAUUAAUCCAAUGCCAAUGGAUUGGAAGGAGCAUAUGGUGGAUAAAGUGCAUCAGCUCUUCUUAAGGGUUCCCCACUUUAACAAGGUAGGAGAGAUACCACAGCGGCUGCCAAAAUUCUAAGGAAUUUGACCAUAUACAGUUUUUGAUUCAAACGAAAAUUCUUAUUACUGGUGUGGCUAUCUUGGAGUCCGUGGGCAUUGCCAAAGCUCUGGCUGCAAAGAAUGGAUAUGAGUUGGAUUCAAAUCAAGAGUUAUUUGGUCUUGGUGUUGCCAACAUUUGUGGUUCAUUCUUCUCAUCAUACCCUACAACAGGU